UGGCCACCCUUUGGGCCCUGGUGGCAGAGGACGAGAGGAUUUUCUUAAAAGAGAACGAAUGAAGAUGUGAGUGAUGAAAAAGAGGACAGAAGCUACAGCCAGCUCUCGGAGAAGAAGUGUGUCUAGGGCCAUGGUGUAGUAGUGCUUUAGUGUGUGUAUGGAUAUGGAUACUGGUUUGUGAGCUAUGGGAUUUAUCUAUUUAUAUCAUUUGCAAGAGUAAG
rnacentral:misc_RNA from 1 species